UACAGAGGGGGCAAGCGUUGUUCGGAAUUACUGGGCGUAAAGGGCGCGUAGGCGGCCUUCUAAGUCGAACGUGAAAUCCCCGGGCUCAACCCGGGAACUGCGUCCGAGACUGAAAGGCUUGAAUCCGGGAGAGGGAUGUGGAAUUCCAGGUGUAGCGGUGAAAUGCGUAGAUAUCUGGAGGAACACCGGUGGCGAAGGCGGCAUCCUGGACCAAUACUGACACUGAGGAGCGAAAGCCAGGGGAGCAAACGGG
rnacentral:rRNA from 1 species